UGUGGUUUUUUCAGCUACCAUUCUAUUCAAUGCCAUUGCAUACGUAUCGGCUCCUACCACUGCCAUAUGAUAACCCUCUGAAUUUAAUGCUUCACAUUGAUGCCUUCCACUUACUCUACUUGAUGACCACAAUCAAUUGGUUACGAGAAUGGAGAUUCCACACGGGCUGCAUUUCCUUUUCCUUGCAUAACCACUAACCAGUAUUUCAGUUUUCUUGAUAUGAUUUUAAAACCAUCGCACAAAGAUUUUGAUACGGCUUGAAAUAAAUAUUAAAUUAUAAUGGCAAGUGCGGUAGAUGCCGUUGGAGAACCGAUUCCGACAUCGGCAGUGAUGAUUCAGCGUCUAAGCUUAUCACAGGUGUUUUUGAAAUUUUAUGAACUAGAGAUUUGCCUUGAGAGUUGCUGGUACAUAUUAACUUGAUACAAGUUUUUGAUCAAGAAACGUUGGUUUUAUGUAAUUUUGACUACGGGUGUGAACCAUGUUGGGUCAGCGGAUUGAGUUCAACCUGAACACGAACCUUAUAUUUAUUCGUGUGAAAUCAUUAACCUUGUCUUGGACACAUUAAAAAUCGUGUAACUUGAACGACCUUUUUAACUGGUUUAUCUAAAUGUGUCAAACAGAUUGGAAGGCAGUUAUCAU